rnacentral:rRNA from 1 species
UGCGAGGGCAUAUAGUCCUCGCUUUUCUCACCCGUAAGGUUGGUUUGAGGAAUAAGUGCUGGGCAAGACCGGUGCCAGCCGCCGCGGUAAUACCGGCAGACCGAGUGAUGACCGCUGUUAUUGGGCCUUUGAGUCCAACCCUGGUCCUUUAAGUCCAUGGGGAAAUGGCGUGCUGAAAAUGGAGGGGAUCGGUGGAAUGUGCAAGGAUAGGACUGAGAUCCUCGGGUCCCUACUUCAAAAGU